rnacentral:rRNA from 1 species
UUGAACGCUGGCGGCAGGCCUAACACAUGCAAGUCGAGCGGUAGCACAGAGAGCUUGCUCUCGGGUGACGAGCGGCGGACGGGUGAGUAAUGUCUGGGAAACUGCCUGAUGGAGGGGGAUAACUACUGGAAACGGUGGCUAAUACCGCAUAAUGUCGCAAGACCAAAGUGGGGGACCUUCGGGCCUCAUGCCAUCAGAUGUGCCCAGAUGGGAUUAGCUAGUAGGUGGGGUAACGGCUCACCUAGGCGACGAUCCCUAGCUGGUCUGAGAGGAUGACCAGCCACACUGGAACUGAGACACGGUCCAGACUCCUACGGGAGGCAGCAGUGGGGAAUAUUGCACAAUGGGCGCAAGCCUGAUGCAGCCAUGCCGCGUGUGUGAAGAAGGCCUUCGGGUUGUAAAGCACUUUCAGCGGGGAGGAAGGCGUUAAGGUUAAUAACCUUGGCGAUUGACGUUACCCGCAGAAGAAGCACCGGCUAACUCCGUGCCAGCAGCCGCGGUAAUACGGAGGGUGCAAGCGUUAAUCGGAAUUACUGGGCGUAAAGCGCACGCAGGCGGUCUGUCAAGUCGGAUGUGAAAUCCCCGGGCUCAACCUGGGAACUGCAUUCGAAACUGGCAGGCUAGAGUCUUGUAGAGGGGGGUAGAAUUCCAGGUGUAGCGGUGAAAUGCGUAGAGAUCUGGAGGAAUACCGGUGGCGAAGGCGGCCCCCUGGACAAAGACUGACGCUCAGGUGCGAAAGCGUGGGGAGCAAACAGGAUUAGAUACCCUGGUAGUCCACGCCGUAAACGAUGUCGAUUUGGAGGUUGUGCCCUUGAGGCGUGGCUUCCGGAGCUAACGCGUUAAGUCGACCGCCUGGGGAGUACGGCCGCAAGGUUAAAACUCAAAUGAAUUGACGGGGGCCCGCACAAGCGGUGGAGCAUGUGGUUUAAUUCGAUGCAACGCGAAGAACCUUACCUGGUCUUGACAUCCACAGAACUUUCCAGAGAUGGAUUGGUGCCUUCGGGAACUGUGAGACAGGUGCUGCAUGGCUGUCGUCAGCUCGUGUUGUGAAAUGUUGGGUUAAGUCCCGCAACGAGCGCAACCCUUAUCCUUUGUUGCCAGCGGUCCGGCCGGGAACUCAAAGGAGACUGCCAGUGAUAAACUGGAGGAAGGUGGGGAUGACGUCAAGUCAUCAUGGCCCUUACGACCAGGGCUACACACGUGCUACAAUGGCAUAUACAAAGAGAAGCGACCUCGCGAGAGCAAGCGGACCUCAUAAAGUAUGUCGUAGUCCGGAUUGGAGUCUGCAACUCGACUCCAUGAAGUCGGAAUCGCUAGUAAUCGUAGAUCAGAAUGCUACGGUGAAUACGUUCCCGGGCCUUGUACACACCGCCCGUCACACCAUGGGAGUGGGUUGCAAAAGAAGUAGGUAGCUUAACCUUCGGGAGGGCGCUUACCACUUUGUGAUUCAUGACUGGGGUG